GUUUCAAUUCCUCAUAGGCAGGCUAUCGGCCAAACGCGCUUCUGACGCGGGCUGGGGGCUGUUUUAG
rnacentral:sRNA from 1 species